rnacentral:tRNA from 1 species
GUUUUAGUAGUUUAAAUAAAACACUGGUCUUGUAAAUCAGAAUAGAGUAUUAAUACUCCUUAAACU